rfam:Schistosoma haematobium scaffold929_31, whole genome shotgun sequence.
UUUUAUGAAGUUGCUUCAUGAAAUGAUCACAUCACUCAGUUGUACACAGAAUGAAUCUCCAUAAUCUAACUUACUAUUAUUAUUUAUGGGAUGCAGAGAAUAUUUGUAUCGUAAAUGCUACAUGGAUAACUGUAGUAAUUAUAGAGCUAAUACAUGCCUUAAAUCCCUGACCCGCAAGGGGACAGGUGCAUUUAUUAGAACAGAACCAAUCGGCUUCAUUUGUGCCUGUUACAUUCUGUGAUGACUUUGGAUAACUUUACUGAUCACAGUCGGCCUUGUGUCGGCGACGGAUCUUUCAAAUAUCUACCCUAUCAGUUUGUUGAUAGGUGAUUUGCCUACCAUGAUGAUAACAGAUAACGGGUAAUCAGGGUUUGAUUCCGGAGAGGAAGUCUGAUAAAUAGCUACCACAUCCAAGGACGGCAGCAGGCGCUUAAAUUACCCACUCCCGGCACAGAGAGGUAGUGACAAAAAAAUACGGACACGGGACUCCAUUGAGGCUUUUUAAUUCGAAUGAGUACAGUUUAAAACAUUUAACGAGAACCAUUCGGAGGGCGUCUUGUGCAAGCAGUUGCGGUGACUCCAGCUCUGAAA